GAGGGGGUAGAGUAAAUGGGAAUUCGUUAGGUGUAAAAGUGCUUAAAGAUAAAGGUUCAAAUCCUUUCCCCCUGCU
rnacentral:tRNA from 1 species